GAGUUUGAUCAUGGCUCAGAACGUACGCUGGCGGCACGCCUAACACAUGCAAGUCGAACGCAGUAGCAAUACUGAGUGGCAAACGGGUGAGUAUAAUGUGGGAAUCUGCCUUUUGGUUUGGAAUAACACGGGGAAACUUGUGCUAAUACCGAAUAAGCCCUUACGGGGAAAGUUUUAACGCCGAAAGAUGAGCCUGCACUUGAUUAGCUAGCUGGUAAGGUAAAGGCUUACCAAGGCAACGAUCAAUAGCUGUUCUUAGAGGAAGACCAGCCACAUUGGGACUGAGACACGGCCCAGACUCCUACGGGAGGCAGCAGUGGGGAAUCUUGCACAAUGGGGGAAACCCUGAUGCAGCGAUGCCGCGUGAGUGAAGAAGGCCUUUGGGUUGUAAAACUCUUUCGUCGGGGAAGAAAAUGACUGUACCCGAAUAAGAAGGUCCGGCUAACUUCGUGCCAGCAGCCGCGGUAAUACGAAGGGACCUAGCGUAGUUCGGAAUUACUGGGCUUAAAGAGCUCGUAGGUGGUUAAAAAAGUUGAUGGUGAAAUCCCAAGGCUCAACCUUGGAACCGCCAUCAAAACUUUUUAGCUAGAGUGUGAUAGAGGUAAGUGGAAUUUCUAGUGUAGAGGUGAAAUUCGUAGAUAUUAGAAAGAACACCAAAUGCGAAGGCAACUUACUGGGUCACUACUGACACUGAGGAGCGAAAGCAUGGGUAGCGAAGAGGAUUAGAUACCCUCGUAGUCCAUGCCGUAAACGAUGUGUGCUAGACGUUGGAAAUAUAUUUUUCAGUGUCGCAGCGAAAGCAUUAAGCACACCGCCUGGGGAGUACGACCGCAAGGUUAAAACUCAAAUGAAUUGAC
rnacentral:rRNA from 1 species